rnacentral:rRNA from 1 species
AACGAACGCUGGCGGCAGGCUUAACACAUGCAAGUCGAACGCCCCGCAAGGGGAGUGGCAGACGGGUGAGUAACGCGUGGGAACAUACCCUUUCCUGCGGAAUAGCUCUGGGAAACUGGAAUUAAUACCGCAUACGCCCUACGGGGGAAAGAUUUAUCGGGGAAGGAUUGGCCCGCGUUGGAUUAGCUAGUUGGUGGGGUAAAGGCCUACCAAGGCGACGAUCCAUAGCUGGUCUGAGAGGGUGAUCAGCCACAUUGGGACUGAGACACGGCCCAAACUCCUACGGGAGGCAGCAGUGGGGAAUAUUGGACAAUGGGCGCAAGCCUGAUCCAGCCAUGCCGCGUGAGUGAUGAAGGCCUUAGGGUUGUAAAGCUCUUUCACCGAUGAAGAUAAUGACGGUAGUCGGAGAAGAAGCCCCGGCUAACUUCGUGCCAGCAGCCGCCGUAA